GCCGGGUGUGGUGGCGCACGCCUGUAAUCCCAGCUACUCAGGAGGCUGAGGCAGGAGAAUUGCUUGAACCCAGGAAGUGGUGGUUGCAGUGAGCUGAGAUCACGCCACUGCACUCCAGCCUGGGCAACAGAGCAAGACUCCGUCUCAA
rnacentral:SRP_RNA from 1 species